GUUUACGGCCAUACCAGCCUGGGUACGCCCGAUCUCGUCUGAUCUCGGAAGCUAAGCAGGGUUGGGCCUGGUUAGUACUUGGAUGGGAGACCACCUAGGAAUACCAGGUGCUGUAAGCU
ensembl:rRNA 5S_rRNA 5S ribosomal RNA